rnacentral:rRNA from 1 species
CCUACUUUGUUCUGCCGUGCGGAAUAUUGGUCAAUGGGCGGAAGCCUGAACCAGCCAAGUCGCGUGAGGGAAUAAGGCCCUACGGGUCGUAAACCUCUUUUGCCGGGGAGCAAGGUCGGGGACGUGUACCGGCCCGGAGAGUACCCGGAGAAAAAGCAUCGGCUAACUCCGUGCCAGCAGCCGCGGUAAUACGGAGGAUGCGAGCGUUAUCCGGAUUUAUUGGGGUUAAAGGGUGCGUAGGCGGGCUGUUAAGUCAGCGGUAAAAAUUCGGGGCUCAACCCCGUCCGGCCGUUGAAACUGGGGGCCUUGAGUGGGCGAGAAGAAGGCGGAAUGCGUGGUGUAGCGGUGAAAUGCAUAGAUAUCACGCAGAACCCCGAUUGCGAAGGCAGGCUUCCGGCGCCCUACUGACGCUGAGGCACGAAAGUGCGGGGAUCGAACAGGAUUAGAUACCCCAGUAGUC